GAGUUGAUAGCGGGGCGUUUUGCGGCGCAUGCGAGUUUUGCCUCUGUUGGCAUAAGCGGCCGCCGCUCCACUCGUGAGGGCGACCCGCCGUCCGCGGGGGGUGCCGAAAUGAUGUGUCGGCUCAU
rnacentral:misc_RNA from 1 species